rnacentral:rRNA from 1 species
GAUGAACGCUGGCGGCGUGCCUAAUACAUGCAAGUCGAGCGAACAGACGAGGAGCUUGCUCCUCUGACGUUAGCGGCGGACGGGUGAGUAACACGUGGAUAACCUACCUAUAAGACUGGGAUAACUUCGGGAAACCGGAGCUAAUACCGGAUAAUAUAGUGAACCGCAUGGUUCAAUAGUGAAAGACGGUUUUGCUGUCACUUAUAGAUGGAUCCGCGCCGCAUUAGCUAGUUGGUAAGGUAACGGCUUACCAAGGCAACGAUGCGUAGCCGACCUGAGAGGGUGAUCGGCCACACUGGAACUGAGACACGGUCCAGACUCCUACGGGAGGCAGCAGUAGGGAAUCUUCCGCAAUGGGCGAAAGCCUGACGCAGCCACGCCGCGUGAGUGAUGAAGGUCUUCGGAUCGUAAAACUCUGUUAUUAGGGAAGAACAAAUGUGUAAGUAACUAUGCACGUCUUGACGGUACCUACUCAGAAAGCCACGGCUAACUACGUG